rnacentral:lncRNA from 1 species
UUAGAAUUUAGGCACUAAAUACGAUUCUAUUGCGUUGUGUAGAAAAUAUCGACAUUCUGUUUCUGUUUGUAGUUGAAAACUUCUAAGAAACUGUCCCACUAGCGCAGUUUUGUAUCUGGGAGAAGAUGGCAGACACCAUUAGGGCAAUGGUGAACGCCAUUGUCUUUGUCAUUAAAUGACGUGGCGGCCAGUGGAUAUGGCGAACACCAUUUGCUCAGAUUGGCUAAUAUUAACUCUUUUGCUCCACUUUG